GCUACACACGUGCUACAAUGGCUGGUACAACAAGUCGCAAGCCGGUGACGGCAAGCUAAUCUCUGAAAGCCAGUCUCAGUUCGGAUUGUAGGCUGCAACUCGCCUACAUGAAGUCGGAAUCGCUAGUAAUCGCGGAUCAGCACGCCGCGGUGAAUACGUUCCCGGGCCUUGUACACACCGCCCGUCACACCACGAGAGUUUGUAACACCCGAAGUCGGUGAGGUAACCGUAAGGAGCCAGCCGCCUAAGGUGGGAUAGAUGAUUGGGGUGAAGUCGUAACAAGGUAACCGUA
rnacentral:rRNA from 1 species